rnacentral:rRNA from 1 species
UACGUAAGGUGCAAGCGUUGUCCGGAAUUAUUGGGCGUAAAGAGCUCGUAGGCGGUUUGUCGCGUCUGCUGUGAAAACUCGGGGCUUAACUCCGGGCCUGCAGUGGGUACGGGCAGACUAGAGUGCGGUAGGGGAGACUGGAAUUCCUGGUGUAGCGGUGAAAUGCGCAGAUAUCAGGAGGAACACCGGUGGCGAAGGCGGGUCUCUGGGCCGAUACUGACGCUGAGGCGCGAAAGCGUGGGGAGCGAACAGG